rnacentral:tRNA from 1 species
GAGAGUAUAGCUCAGUGGUAGAGUGUGUGUUUAACAUGCAUGAGGUCCUGGGUUCAGUCCCCAGUACCUCCA